CUUUAGUAAGAGUGACGGGCGAUUUGUGCAUAUUUAAUUUCUUUCUUCAUAUUUAAUUUUUAUUUAAUUUAUUAUUAUUAAGUCCUUUUUCCUCUUUUUUUUUUUUAAUUUCAUUUAAUGUUUUUAUUUGUAUCCCAUUAUAAGCUUUUUUAUGGGCCCUGUCUUGAUUUGUAUUACUAUUUUAUUUAUUUUUCGAGAAUAUCUUUAUAGAUUUUUUUUAACAAUGAUAUAGAAGCUUAAAAAGUAAGUUCUUUUAAUCGUGGGGUGUCUAUUAAUUAACAGGAUCCCCUAAUCAGGUUAAAUACCGCCAUAUCUUUUUAAAUUUCAUUUAUUUAACUACUUAUUUUCUUUUCACUAAAA
rnacentral:rRNA from 1 species